UACAGAGACCUCAAGCGUUAUCCGGAAUCAUUGGGCGUAAAGCGCACGUAGGCGGACUGCUAAGUCGGAUGUGAAAGCCCUCGGCUUAACCGAGGAAGUGCAUUCGAAACUGACAGUCUUGAGUAUGGAAGAGGGUCGCGGAAUUCCCGGUGUAGAGGUGAAAUUCGUAGAUAUCGGGAGGAACACCAGUGGCGAAGGCGGCGACCUGGGCCAAUACUGACGCUGAGGUGCGAAAGCGUGGGGAGCAAACAGG
rnacentral:rRNA from 1 species